AUCAUGGCUCAGGACAACGCUGGCGGUGUGCUUCACACAUGCAAGUCGAACGAGGUAGCAAUACCUAGUGGCGGACGGGUGAGUAACGCGUGGGAAUCUGCCUUUAGAUGGGGGAUAACGGGUCGAAAGACUCGCUAAUACCGCAUAUGACGAGAGUUGAAAGGAGUAAUCCGUCUAAAGAUGAGCCCGCGUCCGAUUAGCUAGUUGGUAGAGUAAAAGCCUACCAAGGCGACGAUCGGUAGCUGGUCUGAGAGGAUGAUCAGCCACAAUGGGACUGAGACACGGCCCAUACUCCUACGGGAGGCAGCAGUGGGGAAUUUUACGCAAUGGGCGAAAGCCUGACGUAGCGACACCGCGUGAGCGAAGAAGCCCCUUGGGGUGUAAAGCUCUGUCAGCUGGAACGAAAAAAUGACGGUACCAGCAGAGGAAGCAUCGGCUAACUACGUG
rnacentral:rRNA from 1 species